GGUGACUGACUCAGUGGUAGAGCACUUGCUUUGCAUGCAUGAGGCCCUGGGUUCAAUUCCUCAGCACCA
rnacentral:tRNA from 1 species